GAUGAACGCUAGCUACAGGCUUAACACAUGCAAGUCGAGGGGAAACGACAUCGCAAGCUUGCUUUUGAUGGGCGUCGACCGGCGCACGGGUGAGUAACGCGUAUCCAACCUGCCCAUCACUUGGGAAUAACCUUGCGAAAGUAAGACUAAUACCCAAUGAUAUCCCACGAAGGCAUCGGAAUGGGAUUAAAGAUUUAUCGGUGAUGGAUGGGGAUGCGUCUGAUUAGCUUGUUGGCGGGGUAACGGCCCACCAAGGCAACGAUCAGUAGGGGUUCUGAGAGGAAGGUCCCCCACAUUGGAACUGAGACACGGUCCAAACUCCUACGGGAGGCAGCAGUGAGGAAUAUUGGUCAAUGGGCGAGAGCCUGAACCAGCCAAGUAGCGUGCAGGAAGACGGCCCUAUGGGUUGUAAACUGCUUUUAUAAGGGAAUAAAGUGGGUCACGUGUGACUUUUUACAUGUACCUUAUGAAUAAGGACCGGCUAAUUCCGUG
rnacentral:rRNA from 1 species